rnacentral:rRNA from 1 species
UUGGCCAGGUGGUCAGGUAGAGAAUACCGAGGCGAUCGGGCGAACUGUGGUUAAGGAACUCGGCAAAUUACCCCCGUAACUUCGGGAGAAGGGGGGCCACAGACUGUCAUACCCCACGCGGGUGGCAGCAGUAGGUGGCCGCAGAGACCAGGGGGAAGCGACUGUUUACUAAAAACACAGGUCCGUGCGAAGUCGUAAGACGAUGUAUACGGACUGACGCCUGCCCGGUGCUGGAACGUUAAGGGGACCGGUUAGUCCGCAAGGGCGAAGCUGAGAACUUAAGCGCCAGUAAACGGCGGUGGUAACUAUAACCAUCCUAAGGUAGCGAAAUUCCUUGUCGGGUAAGUUCCGACCUGCACGAAUGGCGUAACGACUUCCCUACUGUCUCAACCACAGGCCCGGCGAAAUUGCACUACGAGUAAAGAUGCUCGUUACGCGCGGAAGGACGGAAAGACCCCGGGACCUUCACUAUAGCUUGACAUUGGUAUCCGAAUCUAAUUGUGUAGGAUAGGUGGGAGGCUUUGAUCCGCGGACGCCAGUCCGUCGGGGAGCCAACGUUGAAAUACCACUCUGUUGACUUUGGGUAUCUAACUUCGGACCGUGAUCCGGUUCAGGGACAGUGUCUGGUGGGUAGUUUAACUGGGGCGGUUGCCUCCUAAAAUGUAACGGAGGCGCCCAAAGGUUCCCUCAGCCUGGUUGGCAAUCAGGUGUUGAGUGCAAGUGCACAAGGGAGCUUGACUGUGAGACUGACAGGUCGAGCAGGGACGAAAGUCGGGACUAGUGAUCCGGCACCUCGAGUGGAAGCGGUGUCGCUCAACGGAUAAAAGGUACCCCGGGGAUAACAGGCUGAUCUUCCCCAAGAGUCCAUAUCGACGGGAUGGUUUGGCACCUCGAUGUCGGCUCGUCGCAUCCUGGGGCUGGAGUAGGUCCCAAGGGUUGGGCUGUUCGCCCAUUAAAGCGGCACGCGAGCUGGGUUUAGAACGUCGUGAGACAGUUCGGUCCCUAUCCUCCGCGCGCGUAGGAGACUUGAGAAGAGCUGUCCCUAGUACGAGAGGACCGGGACGGACGAACCUCUGGUGUGCCAGUUGUCAUGCCAAUGGCACGGCUGGUUAGCUACGUUCGGAAGGGAUAACCGCUGAAAGCAUCUAAGCGGGAAGCUCGCUUCAAGAUGAGGUCUCCCACCCCUUAGAGGGUUAAGGCCCCCAGCUAGACCACUGGGUUGAUAGGCCAGAAGUGUAAGCCUGGUAACAGGUUCAGCCGACUGGUACUAAUAGGCCGAGGACUUCACCAA